AACACUCAGCAUCAGCACGUUCUCUCGUGUGUGAUUCAGUAAUGGGUCUACGGAUGAAUGGAUGAUGGGAGGAUGCUUUGUAGAAAAAGGAGCGGGGGCUCACCGAUGUGUCGGUUGACCCGAUUUUCUGUUCUUCUUAUGUUCGAUAGAUCUGUAGUUACAUUAGAUUCGUUCACAUCGUGCCCUCUGGGAUGCUAUGGGGGGAACACCUCGCACUGCUGGCAGGCCACCGAAGGCAGGCUGAAGUGCUGAUGCACGCUAAGGAAUCUGUGGCCCUGUCAGUGGCAAACAGGCCCCGUUGCCCUAGUUCUGCCCACACUGUCCGGCAGCUACAGCAGGAUCCUUUUUACUGCUGUUUUAAAAUCUUUACAUUAUUGCUGGUUGUAGAUAAAGACCCGGAAAAUUGUCCUGAUGCAAUUUUGACAAAGUUAAGAAAACGCCUCAGAUAUAAGUCAUUAUUCUGUGCUUGAAAUCAAAAUGCUGAAACAACAAAUCUGACUUAAAUAGAAAUGCUGCUUUUUUCAGAUUUUUCUCUGAAUUCUGGGAUUCAUCUCAGAACACAGAGAAAAGUUUUGGCAGAAUGUAGAUUAUACUGUAUAACACUAAUAUGCAAAUAAGAUAGUUAAUAAUUCUCCAAGGACAGAGCAACAGUUCAGUUAAUUGGUCAUGUGAAGUAGCCCACUGCUUAGCUGGGAGCUUUCUGAAGGUGCAAUCUGUACAUUUUCCUAAUUAAAUGUCUACACAAAUAGACUAGUUUUAUAGUUUUGAGUUGUGCACUUUCACUGUCACAAAUGUCUCCUGCAAAAGUAAUUUGGUCACCUGUCAGGGGCCUCAUAUACCCUGUGUGCAUGUAUCAGCGUUGUUUGUCUGCCAGAAAUGCCAAAGUAGGCUUUUUAUUUGAUACACUUACCGUAUAAGCUCUUGGUGGAGUUGGAAAGAUGCAUGUGUUUACUUGGCAGGGACGGUCCAAAGGUGUGGUCAGACUGAAAGUGAGAUGUUUUCCUUUGUAUUGUAUUUUCAAAUGUGUGCUUUUUUUAUAGUCAAAAUUUUUAGUUAUAGUUUUUAUUCACUACAAACAGUAAUUUGUAAUGUAGCUAGCUUGCAAUGUGUGUGUGUUGUCUAUGGUACCAACAGUAUCAUCUGUUAGUAGCAUCUGCAGCCUGCAAGGAUAUAAGUUACGCCCACUAUAAGGAACACCUGAUUAAAGACACUAGGCGAUAGAUAACAUUGGUCAGUUUAUAUCAAGUGUUAACUCAAUUGCUAUUUAACAUCUCUGCCACAUUGAAAAGACUGACCUGUAAACACAUGCAAGUAAACAAUGGCGCUUCGGUUUUCGGAAUACAGAGCUCUUUAGCAUUUACAAUUCUCAAUUUGUUUCAAUGGUUUAUGAUCUACAGGAUGGACUUACAUUACGUAGAAUGUUGAUAGUUAGAUAUAAUCACUGAGUUGUAGAAAUUCCCGUUUGUCUAAUCUGGAUUUGACUUAUUUUCUUUGUUAAUGCAUCUCUACCGGAUAUGAUAUAAUUUGAUGUACAUUAACAUUUUUACAGUUUGAAAAUGCCUUGUGUAGUGUACGAGCCAACCAGUGUAGCAUUACUCGUGCUCCAGGUCAGAACCAUAGUAAUUAAUUAGAUAUUAGAGCUUAAAAAGCCGUAGGUUUGGGGGCGUGUCUGUUUGACACACAUACACUUGGAUGAUUGACAGGCAGCUUUUGAGACUAUAGAGAAAAAUUCACUGGAGGAAAACUAGAGCUUAUUUACAUUGUGUUCACUCAAUUUUGCUGACAUCUACUCUUAUUCAGUCGUUAUUAGUCGCUGGAGAAGGUUUUGACACCGACACUGUUAGUUUUUUUUAAUUAGUUUUGAAUUCUUCAGUAACAAGAGACACAGAGGAGCUGAUAUCUGGUUUCUUCGAGGCAGAAGGACUGAAGCUUUAGUUGAUGACGAUGACGUGAAACAACUGGACCUCAUCCAACGAUAAUGAUGACUGGUGUCAAAAGAAGGAAGACCUCAUGUAUGGAGCAGCAUAUUUGGUGCCAUUCUUCAGGAUGUAGAGGAGAGAGACUGGAUAACAACAUCCUUAAUUCUUUAAUGAGAUGUGAUGAUGAUGUCAAUAAACCUUCAGUUCAGUUUCCUCUGAUGAAAUGUCAGUACACA